UACGAGAGGCCCCAAACGUUAUUCGGAUUUACUGGGCUUAAAGAGUUUGUAGGCGGUUCGGUAAGUGAGAUGUGAAAGCCCUCGGCUCAACCGAGGAAUUGCGUUUCAAACUGCCGGGCUCGAGGGAGAUAGAGGUGAGCGGAACUGAUGGUGGAGCGGUGAAAUGCGUUGAUAUCAUCAGGAACACCAGAGGCGAAGGCGGCUCACUGGGUCUCUUCUGACGCUGAGAAACGAAAACUAGGGGAGCAAACGGGAUUAGAUACCCCUGUAGU
rnacentral:rRNA from 1 species